rnacentral:tRNA from 1 species
AUUCAAGUAGUUUAAUUUAAAAAUAUUGAUUUGUGGUAUCAAAGAUAUAGGCGUUAUUUUGGAUU